rnacentral:lncRNA from 1 species
UGGAAAGUGCACUGCAUUUGGAAUCAGAUGACCUGUUCCAAUCCUGGCUCUAUCAUUUAAUAUCUUGCAGACAAAGAAUAACAUACCGAACUGGCUAUAGUUGUGUGAAGGAACCCUAGAGAGGGGAGGGAGACAAGAAAAUACUAAAUGAAGAAAAAAGAAAACAUGCAACAUUAAGA